GGGGGCCGGGCUAGCGGGCUACUGGGCUGUGGAGACCAGACCCCGGCUCCACUGGUAGAAACACCCCUGCUGCUGGGGCAGGGCGGCGAAAGGUCAGUCGGCCGAGAGGAGUCCGUGGAGCCACCGUUUCAUAGCCUCAGGGAAAGGACCGGGCGUGCUUACGAGCCCUCUAACCCAUGGCUUAAACACCCGCUUCCUAAGCCUGGUUCAACUAGGUGUCUUCCUUGUGAAGCGUCAGGUUGGCAAACCCAGCAGUGAGUGUGCUUCUGAUUUCCCAACGAGGCAGUGACUCCUCGGGUUUGUCCCCAAGACCUUAUGCCUGGAGUGCCCCAAGGAUGCUUCAGUCACCCUCAGUGUCAGGAAUCCCAGACCUUCCUGUACCUAAAGAAGUGACCUUUAAUAGUCCUCCGGGAUUUCAGACCUCUCAAGUGUUUCUGCCGGGGGAAUUCUUAUGAAGCUGAUGGUUACAUGUAAUUAGGAAUAAGGAAGAUUUGUUUUGACUGAAAAUGCUCUUCCCAAGGUGACCUCAUCCAAGUUAAAAAAAAAAACAGCUGUCAUUGCUUUUCUUAGCAGGCAGUGUUGGUUACUCAGAAUUUUCCUGUUGCCUCCCCGACAAUGCCCAACUCCGCUUCCUUGAACCUUGGCUUUUUUUCAUUCCCAGGUUCCAUCCACCUUUUUGCACUUCCUAUCUAUAAACACUUCAUGUCUGGUUUUAUCCCCUCUCAUUACGUUGAUCUAUUCCUCACACCACAUACACACCCCAAAAAACUCAAAAUGGAUCAUAGAUGUAAAUGGAAAACCUAAACCUAUACCGGAAGAAAACAUAGGAGGAAAUAUUUGUGACCUUAUUUAGGCAAAUAUUUCUUAGACCAAAAGCAUGAUGAAAAAAAAUUGAUAAAUUGGACUUCAACAAAGUAAAAAUUUAUGCUCUUCAAAAAACUGUUGAAGCCACAUACUGAAAAUAUUUACAAAGCAUGUAUCUGGUGAAGGACUUGUAUGGAGAAUAUAUAAGGAGCACUCAAAAAGCAAUAACAAAACAGCUCGUUGUUUAAAAAUGGGCAAAAGAUUUGAAUAGACACCAAAGACGAUACACAAAUAACAAAUAAUUAUUUUAAAAGAUCUUAAACAAAAAAAGAUCCUAAACAUCAUUAGACAUUAGGGAAAUAAACAUUUAAAUCACAAUGAGCUACCACAACCCACCUAUUAGAAUGGCUUAAGUAAAACAAACAAAACCUCACAAAAACUGGCUGUUCACUCAGAAUUCCUAGUAUCGCUAAUAUUUUGCAGAUUCAAAUUUCGGCCUCCUAUCCAGACUUCCUCCCUCUUGGCUUCAUGUUAACGUUCUGCUGGAAAUCUUAACAUAGAUAACCUGGAGGCAUAUUCAACACAUCCAAGGUUUAAUCCAUCACCUUCCCUUUCAAUUUUGCUUUUCUUUCCAUAUUAUCUACUUGGAUGGGGGGGCGGGGGGCGGUGGGUGAGGAGAGUAUUGUCAUCAUCAACAGAUUAACCCCAGCCAGACACUUGGGAGUCACCCCCACAUCCAGUGUGUCAUGUCUGCUUGUGUAUCUCAAUGGAAACCAUACCCUCUAUCACCAUCUUGAUUCUCAGGUCCUCAUUUUGUCACUCUUGUAGCUGAUAAUCAUGUCUCCUUCACUCAAGGGGGUCAGAGAGUUAUAGUUAAUAAACAAUCUGAAAAUAUUACACCCCUUCUAGAUCCUUCUGAGGCCAAGAGACAGUCCAGGUUUGUUAACAUACCCCACAAGGUCAUUCGUGGUGUGGCCACUGCCUACCUUUUUAGCAUCAUCUCUCUCCACUCCAUACCGUGAGCUUUCUCUCCAGCAAUACUGAAUUGGUUGUAGUUCUCUGCCCACAACAUGCUGCUUUGUUCCUCUACGCUGCUGCCUCAUCAUAGAAUAUUGUCUCCCAUUCUCUCCUGCCUAGAUCACUAAUACCCAUUCUUUAAGACCAAGUUCAGGAAGCCUUCCCAGAGGCCCUCACCCCCCUAAGCUAAUUUAGGUCUCUCCUCUUCAUUACAGUAUUACUCUACAUAUACUUACUAACCAAUUUAUGAGAUUUUAUAUUUGUUCAUUUGUAUUUCUUCUUUACCAAACUAUUGAUUUAGUUAAUUCGGGGACUGCAUCUUAUUUGUAUUCUCAUCGUUAAGGUUUAGCACUAUCCCUUGCACAUAGUACGUAUUAAAUAAAUGUUUGUUGAAUAAAUCAUGAUUAUCCACUAGUA